rnacentral:lncRNA from 1 species
UAAUCCAUUCCUUAUUCUUUCGCCUCCUUUAUCCGUAUUAUGUAACCUUAGACUCUUUUCCGGGUUUGACUCAACGGAUGGGCCUUAUUGGCCCAUUGAGGAAUGCAAAGGGUCCGUUUGGACUCCAACGAGUUCACAUGCAAAGCAAGAAUAAACAAAAAAAAAAUUAAUGCAUGAUCAACCGAGAAAGAAAGGAAGAAAAAUUAAAGGGGUAAACACAAAAAUCAAAUCAAGGAAAUAAGAUACAUAACACACGAUCAUCUGAGGGAAAGAAAACAUAGAGUGGAUUAACUCAUGCUUGUUAAAAAAAUGUAUAAAAGGCUAAUAAUAAGGAACGAGGGCACAUUCAAAUAAUCAAACAGCGUAUUGGGGUAAAUGAUGUCUUAGUGUAAACCUUAUUUGUAUUUAAAAGUAAAUGACGUGUUGAUACCAAAUAGCAUAUGAUGAGUGGCAAGGUAGUUAGCACGUAAACCUACUGUAUAUUCGUGUGAAGGUUAUCCACGAUCAGAAUACUACUGUUCAUGGUCAAUCAAUCCAAACAGCAUGGGUAAUAAAAUAAAGGAAAACGUAUUCAAGACUCUACCAAGCUAACAGUAAAAUCAAAAUGUUGACAAUAUUAUGACGACUCGCUGGGAUCUCAAGAUAUAGAGCUUAUAUGUUCUCCGAUUUUAUUAGGAAGCAAAUAUUAAGAAGCUGAAGCCUAAAGCAAACAAUAGUAGCACCUAGGACAAAUGAGUUGUCUUAAGUUCAACUUAUGAGUCGUAGCAAUAAUUAUAAGGCUACUAGUUUCAACAGUACAGGACAACACCCCUGACAAUUAUAACACAUCAAUCAUGCUAGACCAUGAGACACACGAUAUUUAAAUCUGGAAAAUAAUCUGCAAUAUUAAGCUUUAUCAGUAGGUAUUUGAGGAUGGAAAUAAUCGAUCGUGUUGUUCCAUCCCUAAUCCUAUUUUGAGAAUGAAAUGGGUACAACUUUAUCCUUUGGGAAGGAAACGGUUACGACUUCAUCCCUACUUUCUUAGUAUUAUUGAACAAGAAAGAUCCUUGGGAAUCCUUAGCCCGUACACAAUGUAGUGAUAAGAAAAUUAGACUAAUUUUAACAAACAUACUCCAAUGUUCAAGCAUCCACACUACUACAUUUAUCCUCCUAAUAUGUUUUUAUACUGAAAAUAAGCUUAAAGGAGAAAUAGAAAUCCCAAAUUCGGGUUUUUGAGACCAAAAGAGAGGCAUAACUCAUAAACUAAAGGGAAGUGUGGCAAGGCAUAUUAUCCUCAUCCUCACUCUCUCUUCGACAGACUAAAAAGGAUAAGCUUUUAGUGGUCGAGACGAUCAUUGAGGAAUCACAGGAUCUUCUGUAUAUUUCGGUCCUUGCUCAUUAUCCUUUUGGCAUAUGAGAAGCCAAAGGAUCUUGAGAGGUAGACCUUCUAACAACGCUAUUAACUCAACAAUGGCGCUGCAAUCCAGCAAUAACAAUGGACAAACACAAUCAGAUAAUGACUAUGAGCCAAACAUCACCUGACUAAAAUUGUUGAAUACAAUCAAAGAAACAGACUUUGCGUAAUAAACCAGCCCUUCCAACCACUAGCCAUGCACCAAGUGAAGCAUAGGCCAAAACCUACUCAGCAACACUAAGAAUGGACGACAGAUCAUGAUACCAAAAUAAGAAAAAUGACAGAAAACCACAUAUCUGGCAAUCCGAACCUAGAUUAAUCCUAACAUAAUGAUACAUUCAACACUUUUCGUCAAAACAAAAACCUAUGGUCUUUGGGACCUCUACAGCACAUAACCCAGCAAACAAUACUAUGAUUAUAUCAGCAAAUGGGAUGAAGCAGAGAAAAUGCGAUAACAAAAUAAAGGGUAAGGGGUAUUCACCUCCUUCGGAGCAGCAAGAUUGGAUAACGAGCUAACGUUGGACUCCUAGUCACCACCAUAGAUCGUCGUUGUCGUCAACUCGAAACACACCGAUUAAUCUCCAACUUUUAUGAAAACGAAACUUCUAAUUCAAACAGAAAAUUUUUAAUGAUCCACUCAAGAUGGCUUUUCCCUUUUCUCAAGCCCAAAACAUUCAAAGAAAUUUUCGAACCCUAGAACUUCUAACCUCAGAAUUUUGAACCCUAAUUCUCUCCUCUGAAUUUUUUCCCUCCCUCCAUCAACCUCUAAAACAGUGACCAAGUGGCUUCUUAUAUAGACGAUGGAAUUGGGGCAUUUUCAGGAUUUUCCAAAAUAGGAUAUUCGAAAUUUGAAAUUCGAAUUCUCCCUCGUCUUAGUUUUUCAUCCGCGACUCGUACCAAUUUUGGAAUUGGUGGACCAAUAGAAUUCGGGGAAAUCCAAUUCCCUCCCACAACCAAUGGAAACCCACCAAAUAGGUACGAGAUCGUACCAAUGCUACCAAGAUUUACAGAAUUGAUCCGUUAGAGGUGACACCUAACCUUAUUUCUAGAAGAUUCUUGAGCAUUCUCGUGCGGAUUCACGAAGCGAAAAAGAUGGGUUGGUCACUGUCGCAAUUUGGAAUCGGUUUAUCAUGGUACGGGUUGAGCUAGAGUAGGGGUCAAAGAUGGGUCGAGUUAUUGAAGCUGAUGGAGUCGGUCUCGUUCGAAUUUUUGGAGUUGGCAUCGUUAUUUUGUUGUGGGAUAAGAUUAGGUCAAGGUUAUGAGAGAGGAGAUAAGGGGAUUGGGUCGGGUUAUGAAGGAUUUGUAGUGGGAUGAAAUUGCUUUGUUGUUGGGUUGGUGUUGAAAAAUAUCAGGCUUGGGGUGGUGUUGAUGGGAAUUUGGGGCUAAUUUGGCAAAGUCAAAAGGAAAUUGGGCUUGGGCUGGUCUUGUGAGGCUGUUGGGUUAUUGUAUCGGGCUGGUGGAAUUAUUUAAGACAUAGCCUCAAUUAGGAGUAGGUUUAAACUAUUUAAUAAAUAGCCUAUUGAUAAAUACUUUAGUCAAUUGUAUUUAAAUUUUGACCUAAUUGAAAAUUAAUCGGUCAAUUGUAUUGCAAUUGUAGCCAAAUCAACUUCAAUUAAAUCUAAUUUAAUACAUUGACCAAGUUGAGUCAAGAUUGAAAACGAAUUUUGCAACUAGUUUAAUCCCGAGCUUCUUUGAUUUGAUAAAAUUAAGUAACAUUUCUCCAAACAAGCCAUUUUUGAAGUAGAUCAUUUUUAAAUCAAGAUUUUAAUUAGUGUAUUUAUUUUCAAAAUAAUCUUUGAUUAAAAUCCGAUAUUCCAUAGAAUAAACAUUUAAGUAAUCCAAUUGUAUAAUAUCGCAUAAUGAACAUGAUAAUAUAUAAUUGCUACUUAAAGUGACAAAAUCACGUACAAAUAUACUUUCCAAAACUCUUAUUCGGAGGGAAUAAAUAUCUCGAUUUUAUUAAAAAUUGAAGAAACUCAGGAUUAAGUUUAGUUACAGAGGGAAAAAAUUAGGUGUCAACAGGCAUGAUUUGUUUGGAAAGUAAUAAUGGUUCCAAACUAGUUCUCAAUAAUGACAAGCAUGCUCCAGAUGUUCUCCUGAAUUUGAUUUUUGUAGGAAGUCUGGAUGAUGAGGGUUAUGUUAAUACCCUUGGUGCUGGCCAGUGGAAACUUACUAGAGGUUCGAUGAUUAUGGCUCGAGGUGACAAGUUGUCUAACUUGUAUGUAUUUCAGGGCUCUACUUCUAGAGGCUUGAUAAACUUGGUGGAGAAUGAUACUUCAUCAGAGUUGUGGCAUAGAAGGUUGAGUCAUAUGAGUGAGAAGGGGAUUGAUAGUUUGGCUAAGAAACAUUUACUUUCUGGAGUGAAACAAGUAAAGUUGAAGAAGUGUGUUCAUUGCUUAGCCGGUAAACAGAAAAGAGUUUCGUUUCAGAGUCAUCCGCCUUCAAGAAAGCUUGAUUUACUGGAGUUAAAGAUGAAAUUAAAUAUUUGCAAGAUAAUCAUACCUUGAUUUGGUUAAGCUGCCUAAAGACAGAAAAGCUUUGAAAAAUAGGUGAGUUUUUUGGGUGAAGCAUGAAGAUGGUAAUCCAAUUCCACGGUACAAAGAUAGAUUGGUUGUGAAGGGAUUUAACCAGAAAAAGGGAGUUGAUUUUGAUGAGAUAUUUUUUUCGGUUGUAAAGAUGUCAUCCAUUCGUGUGGUUCUAGGCUUAGCUGCAAGUCUAGAUUUAAAGGUUGAACAAAUGGAUAUUAAAACUGCUUUUCUCCAUGGUGACUUAGAUGAAGAAAUUUAUAUGGAGCAACCCAAAGGUUUUGAACUCAAGGGAAAAGAGAAUUAUAUUUGCAAAUUGAAGAAGAGCUUGUAUGGUAUGAAACAAGCUCCUAGGCAGUGGUAUAGGAAGUUUGAUUCCUUUAUGAGUCAGCAGGGCUUCAAGAAGACUACUUUAAACCAUUGUGUUUUUGUACAAAAAUUCUCUGGUGGUGACUGUAUUAUGUGUUGCUUUAUGUUGAUGACAUGCUUGCUGUUGGUCAUAAUGCUUGCAGGAUUCAAAAGUUGAAGCAAGAGUUGAGUGAGUUUUUUUUAUGAAAGACUUAGGACCAGCAAAGCAAAUUCUUGGCAUACAGAUUAUUCGUGACAGAAAGGCCAAGAAUUUGUGGUUAUCAUAAGAGAUGUACAUUCAGAAAGUACUUCGAAGGUUUAACAUGGAUAAGGCUAAGAUUGUCAGUACACCUUUAGCUAUGCACUUCAAGUUGAGCACGAAGCAGUGUCCUUCCAGUGAUAGUGAGAANNNNNNNNNNNNNNNNNNNNNNNNNNNNNNNNNNNNNNNNNNNNNNNNNNNNNNNNNNNNNNNNNNNNNNNNNNNNNNNNNNNNNNNNNNNNNNNNNNNNNNNNNNNNNNNNNNNNNNNNNNNNNNNNNNNNNNNNNNNNNNNNNNNNNNNNNNNNNNNNNNNNNNNNNNNNNNNNNNNNNNNNNNNNNNNNNNNNNNNNNNNNNNNNNNNNNNNNNNNNNNNNNNNNNNNNNNNNNNNNNNNNNNNNNNNNNNNNNNNNNNNNNNNNNNNNNNNNNNNNNNNNNNNNNNNNNNNNNNNNNNNNNNNNNNUUGCAAAAAUGUGUUGCUCUAUCUACUACAGAAGCUGAGCUUAUUGCUGCCGUUGAAUCUUGUAAAGAAUUGCUUUGGAUGAAGAGAUUCUUGGGGAAACUUGGUUGUGCUCAAGAGAGGUAUGUGCUUCAUUGAAAUAGUCAAAGUGCCAUACAUCUUGGCAAGAAUUCUACAUUUCAUGAUCGGUCUAAACACAUUGAUGUGAGAUACCAUUAGAUUCGGGAUGUGUUGGAUUCUAAGUUGCUUUGGAUUCUAAGUUGCUUGAACUUGAGAAGAUUCAUACGGAUGAUAAUGGUUUUGACAUGAUGACUAAAGCUUUGCCAAGAGGGAAGUUUGAAGAUUGUUGCAUAAUCGCCGGGAUGGCAGUCUCUUCCACAUAGUCGGGAGGGGGAGAAUUGUUGGGUCGUGGGCCUUUGUCCCUUCCUAUGUGGAUAAAAUGAAGUAUAAUUUGGACCAACCCACUUUUUCCCAUAGUCACAUUACUAUGGGGCAUAUAUAUUGAUCUUUUUAGGUCUUAUUCACCAUCACAAAAAGAGAGUUUUCAGCAGCCAAAGAGAGGAAAACAAAGCUGAUUUUUGUACCUAAAUUUCAGCCACAGCUGUCAACUUCAAACUGCGAUUCCCGCUUUGCUUCUUGUCCGAUUGAGUUGAUUUUUGGAAAGAUUGUUCCUAUAAUCUCAAUAUUUGAUUAGGAACUGACGGAGCUUAAUUUGGUGGCCUGUAGCUCCUAUUCUUCAUUCCUGAAUAGUAGCUGUGUUUUUUGUGCUUUCACUCCUUUAUUUCUCUAGUGUUUGGUGCUGUGGAUUAUGUAUUAUUUCUUAUUGUUUGGCAAUUGUUUGGUGGACAUUUUGGAGGAAAAUAUUGUAACUCUUUGGUGAUUAUAGUGGAGGUUUUGGUCCCGUGGUUUUUUACUCUUCACACCGAAGGGUUUUCCACGUAAAUUUGGUGUCUUGUGAUUGCCUUUAUUCUUGCCCUAUCACAUUUGUGUGGUAAUUCAUUUGCUACCAUAUUACAUUGUUUUGCUUGGUUUGUUUUUCUCCUCUUGGUUCAAGUUGAAAGGGAAAGUUUAGUCUUGGCUAUUUUCCGCUGCUACCUUGUCGGUCUCUUUGAUUGUGUGCCUGUCUUUCCUAACAAUUACAAGGUAUUGAGACUUACUAUCGUGGUCAUUCAUGAGAUGUUGAUGCUCAAAUAUAUAGUUUAAAGAGUGAUUCUUGGAGAAGCAUCAGUUAUCUUCUGAAUGACCAUCUAUCGUCCAGGUAGGUUUGUCGAUGGAAAGCUUUAUUGGGUUAAUAGUAAUUCUAGUGCCCGUAACAUAAUUUAUAUUAAUUUGGUUGAUGAGAAAUGGGAAAAAAUGGAGUUGCCAUCCUUUGGAGAAGGAGAUAAUGAUUUGUGGCUAGGGGCGUUUGGAAGUGAUCUUUCUGUCUGUAUUGAUAAUGAGGGAAAACAUGUAUCCCUUUGGAUUAUGAACGAAUAUGGGGAUUAAAGAAUGUUGGACAAAAAUGCUUACCAUCAAGUAUGUCGAUUAUCCGUGGGCUCAUCCAUUUUUCAUGUCAAAUAAAAGUGAAAUAGUGGUUGGUUUUGAAUCAACUUUCAUGGUAUACAAUUCAAGUGAUGACGACUUCCUCAGAACCAUGAUUAGUAACACGACUAACUGGUGGCAAGCACAAAUCUAUGUUGAAAGCCUCCUUUCUCCUUUUUCCAUAGGAGGGACUAGUGAUGCGACGAAAGCACAGGCAGAUAAAGCUCGGAUCAAGACAAUCAAGUAACAAAUAACUAGAGAUAAUUUUGUAUUCUAUAACUAUGACCUUUAACAAAAAACCCUUCAAUUCUAACUCCGACGCGUUUUUGAGUGUUUACACGCAUUUUGUCACGUAGGAUUGAAGUGUUUAUUUUGUAUAGUUAAAAGGUCUACUUGUGCACUGUCAAAGUUUUAAAUCAUAAUUAUAAUUUGGUGUCAAGUUUAGAGUCAUAUUUAUGUAUUAUGUCUUUAUAUUUUAUAAAUUUGGAUUUGUUCCCAUAUUACUAAUAGCUAACUGUAUGUUUUGUUCUUGAACUUGUAUAGGUAUUUUCAUUGCAGCUAAUUGACAAUCAAAGGAUGACUUAAUCUUCUUCACUUUGACAGUAACAAUGUCAUAUUGUUAGAAAGAUAUAACAAUUUUGUUGAGUUCCAAAUAAUAUAUAUAACGGACAAAGUAAAGCAACUCGAGUUUUGCAGAUAUUUUGAAGAAGAUGGAAUAGUAUUUAAUGACAAGGAUAAAGUAAACAUAACAUGAUAAAUUAUCUCUUGAUUUUUUAAACUAAAUAAGUAAUAUUGGCCAACUAUUUUAAGAUACUAAACUAAAUAAGCCUCUUUGAUUGUUUGACGGUCCCACACGGCAGGAACUAAAAUAUUCUUAUCAGGUUUUUCCUUUCUCUUGAAACACAUUUCAAUACUCUCAUAGGAAAUUAAUACUUCUUCAAUGGUAGGAGUCAAUUUCACAUCCCCGAAGUGAAACACCAUAUUCUGAUCAUCCCAAAAAGUCGUAAGCACGUGGAUCAUUUUAGGCCAAGCGUCUAUUUCGAUCAACGAAGGCAGGUGCCCGAUGUGUGUCCUAACAAUUUUUCUCUCAUCUGGACCUAUGUAAUCCCACCACAAUUUCAGGUAAUCGUCAGGUUUGGUAACCAUCUUGAACUUUUCACGGGAAUGAAAUUGGGUCAUAUCUAUAUAAAAGAAGACAAAGAUAAGCCUUUCCCCAACCCCAAAGGGUAAUGGAUUGAAUUUAGACAAGCAUAUACUUCUCCAACACAUAAGUAUGAUCCGUCUAUGAUUGACUCGGGGUCAAUAGACGUAGGACAAGUUCUCCAAUAGGCCCAAUACCCCGCUCGGGUAUUGGGUCGUCCUAGGCUCAUGCCUAAAAUAGGGUUUUGGUUUCGUUCUAUCCUCGGUAUCUAGAGUGGGUUUGAACACUGAUUCUCAAGUGGACAACUUGAGUUUGAAAAUAUAAAUAGUCAUCAGACGACUUACGUGCUAAUAAACUGUUUGUAUUUCCAACACAUUUUUGGAAUUGAUCAAUAGGGGUCGGGAUACCCACGAAACCCUAAAACAGUUUAAAUAAUGUUGGAAUAUGCCAUGCGAUGCGAUAAUUAAACUCUACAAAAUAGAAACACAUGAACAAAUAAACAGUUAAUUAAAAGACGAAAUCAAACAUUUGGUUAGAACCUAAUUAGAUUUCCCCAGCAGAGUCGCCAUUUCUAUUUUGACGAAAAAAUUGACUUUUUGAGAGAGUCUCCACUUAAUUUUGAAAAAAAGAAAUUGAGAAACCUUUAGAGAGUUACUUCAAAUGAUUCAAAAUAGAAAAAUCGUUUAAGUUAAGAGAUUCUGAGUAAGCGGUUCUUAUUAACAUUUUAGGAAGGUGUUAGGCACCUAAAACGUCCGCUAACCUGCAGUUAUCCAGACUGUUUGAAAACGUCAUUGAUUAACUUCUGAAAAGAUUAAUUUGUUGAAGUAGUGAUUUGAUUUUUAAAAAAAGGACUUGUGUAAAAUAGGUUUAGGCGACUUAGUAGGGAUUUUAACUAAGUCUAAACAAAACUAAUAAACAAAUAAACACAUAAAAUAGGAAGGGGGGAGAAAGUAAAGGAUUUAGGCCAUUGGGACCAAAUCAACGAGACCUGGCUUAGUCUAGUUGGGCUUCCGGCCCAUUUUACCUGUCCUGAACUAUUUUCGAGCCUUUGGCUCGAGUCUUGCUACACCUAUAUUAAAUACAACUUUGGCUUCUUGGCCCGAAUGAAUGGAUAAAUAAUCAAAAAAAUAAAAAGAUAAGGAUAACAAUGAAAUGAGUAAAUAAACAAAUAAAAGAGAUUUUAAUCUCUUUGCCGUUUCAAGUAAUGGGGUUUAAUCCAUUCCUUAUUCUUCCGCCUCCUUUAUCCGCAUUAUGUAACCUUAGACUCUUUUCCGGGUUUGACUCAACGGAUGGGCCUUAUUGGCCAUUGAGGAAUGCAAAGGGUCCGUUUGGACUCCAAUGAGUUCACAUGCAAAGCAAGAAUAAACAAAAAAAAAUUAAUGCAUGAUCAACCGAGAAAGAAAGGAAGAAAAAUUAAAGGGGUAAACACAAAAAUCAAAUCAAGGAAAUAAGAUACAUAACACACGAUCAUCUGAGCGAAAGAAAACAUAGAGUGGAUUAACUCAUGCUUGUUAAAAAAAUGUAUAAAAGGCUAAUAAUAAGGAACGAGGGAACAUUCAAAUAAUCAAACAGCGUAUUGGGGUAAAUGAUGUCUUAGUGUAAACCUUAUUUGUAUUUAAAAGUAAAUGACGUGUUGAUACCAAAUAUCAUAUGAUGAGUGGCAAUGUAGUUAGCACGUAAACCUACUGUAUAUUCUUGUGAAGGUUAUCCACGAUCAGAAUACUAUUUUUCAUGGUCAAUCAAUCCAAACAGCAUGGGUAAUAAAAUAAAGGAAAACUUAUUCAAGAC